CUGCUUGCCUAGGUAGCACAUGCGCUGAAACUGGAAUGACACGGAGAACAUGAGCAUGGCCCCUGUGCAAGGAUGACACAUGAAAACUGUUUUUAAAACAUGCAAUU